GAAAUGAGGGAGAAGGUGGAUGAGGGGCUCCUUCCUUUUGUCCUCAGAUGACCCAAGCCAAGUGCAGAAGGCGAGCCUCCUCCCAAAGCUCGGCUAGUCCCUCCACCAAAGCCAGGAUCAGAGCCCACACCUGCCUGGCCAACCCCUGGCACUGAUGAUGCCUGGGUGCGGGUUAAGCUGGGAGGAGCUCCUGCCUGCCUGGAUGAAGAGGAGGUCAAGACUUUGUCCCCCACUCCGCAAGAUACCCUCUCUGUUCCGGAGCGGUGGGUCCCUCCCCUGUUAGGACCUUGUCUCCCUCAGGACUGGACCUGGAUCCUGGGCCUGCAGUCAGAUUGCCAGUUUCACUUAGAGGUGGAAAUGUCAACCCACUGGUUGGAAUGGGAAGGUGAGACAGGAUUUCACCAUGUUAGCCAGGAUGGUCUUGAUCUCCUGACCUCAUGAUCUGCCCACCUCGGCCUCCCAAAGUGCUGGGCUUACAGGCGUGAGCCACCGUGCCCGGCCAAAAAUAACUUUUAAAAACAUGAGUAUAGCAUACACACACACAAAAGUCCACAAAUCCUAGGUGUACCACUUGAUGAAUGAUCCCAACGUGAGCACACCUCUGGAUUACCACCUGGAUCAAGAAAUAGGACAUCACAGCAGCUGGCAGCUUCCAAGGAGAAGCUCUGGAAAGUUCUGCCUGUCUCAGCACCUGGCUGGAUCGGAAACGAGUUUUCUUUAACCAGAUUUUUAAUGACUGACUUAUGUGGACAAAUCAUAACUGAAUGAAUCACCUCCUUUGUUGAUUUUUUUGGGUACUUUAUUUGCUAUUAUAAAUGAUGCUGUAAUAAGCACCCUUGAAGAAAUCUUCAUAUCUGCCUCUCCUGUGUAGCAGGUCACAGUGCCUGGGUUUGGUUCUAGCCCUCAUUUGUGAACUGUGUGACUCACCAUGCCUUUUUUCUUUCUGUAAGACAGGAAUAAUGGUAAGAAUUUAAAUGGGGGUAAUAUGGAGCGCGUUUAGUUCAGAGCCUGGUGCAUACAAGCACUCAAUAAGUACUGGCGAUUAUUAGACCUUUAGAUUAAUUUAUUAGAAGUUGGAUUUCUGGUGAAAGGGUUUGAGUGUUUUUGAGGCUUUGGCACAGAAUACCCAGCUGGUCCCAGAAAGGUGGUUCCCAUUUACCUGCCCGAAGGUAAUUCACCCUUACUGAUACUGAGUACUGUUUUCUAAAAGAACAUUAAAAAUUGGAUAGGUUAAAAACAGGUGAAUACAUUUUUUUAGUUGCAUUUUUUUGGUUACCCGUGAGAGUGAACAUGUUGCCAUGUGUUUGCUGACCUCCUAAAUGGUCUAUUUGCUCCUACCUUUGUACCCCAAAAGUCUGCUCUCAAGAUGGUAGCCAGAAUGAUCCUUUUUGAGACAUAAGUCAAAAUUUCACUCUUCUCCUUAAAGCUCUGCAAUGGUUCUCAGGUUAAAAGCCAAAGUCCUGUUCAAGGCCUCCAGGGUCCUCACCACUUGGUCCCUUGCUCUUUCUGUUCUAGCCAACUUGGCCUUCUCCUGCCCCUCCGCCGCACCAUGGCAAUUUCCCCUGCUCUGUGUGGUCAACUACCUGAAUCUGUUCAAAGCUUUGCUCAAAUGUCUCCUUCCUGAUGAGACCUCCCCAGCCCCUGAGCUCCCCAUGCCUCACUCCUGAUCGCCUUACUUAACCCUUCUUUUUCUUUUUUGCCAGUAGUACUUAUCACCGUCUAAAAUACUUCAUAAUUUACUUGUUUAUUGUUUGCCCCUCUCCAAUAGAAUGUAAGCUCCUUGGGGCAGGGACCUUUGUCCUUUGUCUUGUUCACUGCUGUGUCCCAUGUGUAAACUUGUCUGGCACAGAAGAGGUGCUCGAUAAAUAUUUGUUGAGUGAAUGAAUGGUAAAUUUUCUGUUCAUAUUCUUUGACUAUUUUCUAUUGUAAUGUUCAUCUUUUUAGUAUUGGUUUAUAAGAUGUAUAUUUAGCACCUUUUCAUAUAUCACUCUUUGUCACAUAUUAUGCAACUAAUUUGUCAUUUCCAUCAAUUUUUAAAAUACUUUCUUGAUGCUUCAUUUUUAAGCUGUCAGAUUAUUAAUCUUUUCUUUAUGGUCUUGGACUUUAUUGUUGCAUAACCGCUGCCUUCACCAGGAACAUAUAAAUUUUCAAUUAAAUGUUCUUCUGAG
rnacentral:lncRNA from 1 species